CAUGGACUCACUCCAAAUGAAGGUCUGGGACCCAGUCAAGGGCAAGGGGAGGAAGAUCCAAGCGCUGCUGGCCAUGCUGCCAUGGUACCCGCAGUUGCUGGACUCUGCAUUGCUGCUGGUGAAGAGGUAGCGAUAAUGUGCCAUGGUGGUUGCAUGGCCUCCAGAAUGGCUGCCCAUGCCCUCCUGAAAAACUCAGCGGAGCUGAAAACAUCUGCUGAGAUCCAGAACCAUUGCUCCUGGACCCUCUUCUGAGGCCACAGGGCUCUACAGGCUGAUGGAUGAAUACCUGAGUUGGGUGUAGCCAUCAGUGGGGCAGAAGAGGGAUGCAGGCUCCCAGGGUCCCACACCACUAGUCCCAUUGUCAGCUGAAAAAGCAACGAGAAAGGGUUCACAAUCUCUCCUGCUGUCUUCUCUUCUCCUUUUCUACUACAUGGAGGUGCUGGCUGAAUGUUUCCCAUUCUAGUGUGGGAAUUACCUGUGUGUGGAGUCCAUCCCUGCCUGUGCUGUAAUGCUCAGGACCAUCCAGUGCAUCACUGACGGGUUUUCUGAAGGAGAAAGCACAGGACUGCUGGGAAGCUGACGAGGCUGCUGCUGAGACCAAGGCAGGCUGCCAUGGUCCAGAGGCAGACCAAGACAUUUCCUAGCUGUGGAAUGUGGAGGAGAAAGCAUCCAGAGCUAUGGAAUGGAGAGGAACAAAGGGGACCCAGCCUGGCUGCAGGGUCCCUUCUGAGCCCCAGCCCCGCAAGAGAGAGGCCUUCGCGGCUCACGGGCCUGGGACACCAGUCAGGAUCCAAGCUCCUUGGUAAACCCCUGUGAGUGCCAUUAGAGUAGGAUUCUGGCCCCACCACCACUGUUUCAAGCAGACUGAAAAGGGAGGGACUUUUGGUUCCCAGAAUGCACAACAGCCAUGAUGUGCUGCCCACCUUGGGAACACUGAUCUAAUCCACAACCCAGUCUAGUAUGACUGUGUAUAGGGAUAAGGUAUGUUUUCUUUCUUCCUAGAAUGGAUGAGGUUAAAUUAAAUCAAUGUAAUUUAAUUAUUAUAAUAUUUGGUCUCAGAAUUUUUGUCUUUUUGAUUAUUCAAGAGUUGGGUAUGCAUAUCUUUUUGGUAACUUUUUUGUAAUAGAAUGAUGACAGAAUUUUGUUCAUAUUUUUCAAAAAAAUGUCAUAAAAUUAAAAAUGUCUGUAUAUACUUAAUCUUUUAUAAUGUGCUUCUGUUGCAUCUCUUAUGGCAUUUGUAUAGCUAUAUUUGGUUUUCAUUAUUUCUGAUGAUCUCUUAUAGUUUUUAAAGGAUUUAAUUAGUUAAAAGAGUGACAUAUAUAUAUAUAUAUAUAUAUAUAUAUAUAUGCUAGUUUGACCCCUGGUAUACCUGCAGUAGCCAGGGAUCUGCUAGGCAGAUGCCAGGAUUCAGAAACUCCAUUCAGUUCUCCUGAGUGGGUGGAAGAAACCCAAGAAUUUGAGCAUUGUUUGCUGCCUUUCAUGAUCAGUUACAAGAAAGUGCAUCAGAGGAAUGGUGUUUCUGGGACUCAAACCAAGCACUCUUAUACAGGAUGCUAGUGUCCCAUGCAGAAGCUUAACCCACUGCACCACCACACCUGUUAAUGAAGCUCAUGUUUUCUUAUUGUAUUCAUGAUUAUAAGUGUAUUGCUUUCUAUACCUUGUUUUAUUAGAAUGUUUUUUCUCCUCUUUUUUUUUUUUUUGAUGGAAUAGAUUUCUUGCCUGUUUUCUCUUUGUAUUUUUGGUUUGCUUCUUUACUCUUUGUGAAACUAUCUUAAUUUUUAAAAUUAGAAUAUUCAACAAAGUGAUUAUACAAAACAAAAGAUAGUGGUGACAUAUUUUACACAUGUAUCAAAUUAUGAGCGCAAGCAUGAUACACUUUCAUACUAAAGUUACUAAAGUUGUUCUGAUUGUUAGUUUACACUGGAAUCUGUUUAUUUUUGAAGAUUUUAUUUAUUUAUUUGACAGGUAGAGUUACAGACAGUGAAAAAGACAGAAAGAAAGGUCUUCCUUCCAUUGGUUCACACCCCAAAUGGCCACAAUGGCCGGAGCUACACUGAUCUGAAGCCAGGAGCCAGGUGCUUCCUCCUGGUCUCCCAUGUGGGUGCAGGGGCCCAAGCACUUGGGCCAUCUUCCACUGCUAUCCCAGGUCUUAGCAGAGAGCUGGACUGGAAGAAGAGCAACUGGAACUAGAAUCAGUGCCCAUAUGGGAUGCCCACGCUACAGGCAGAGGAUUAACCCAGUGCACCCAGUGCACCACAGUGCAGGCCCCUGGGAUCUAUUUCUUACAACUCAUUAAUAUUUGUCAACAUUUUAAUUUUCUUGUCAAAUAUCUUUCUCUUAAUAAAUUUUGUCUUAUAUUUAUUUCCUAUCCAGUACCCAUAAAAUUAUUUCUUGGCAUUCAUUGAAUAUACAAUGAAGCUCUCAGAAAUUCAUUCAGUUGAUUUCCUUUAUCAUAUUUCUAAUAUUUUAGUGUGUUGACAUAUUUUAGAAGCCCUAUAAAAUGUUUAAAUCUACUUUAUUCAUCCUUAUACAUCAGAUCCUUAAUAUUUAUUUUGAUGUGGGUGUUCAAUGAUAUGAACUCCCACUUUGGAAAUCUUUUUGCUGUAUUUCAUAGUUUGGCAUUCUGUAUUUCAUAUUUUACAACUUAAGAAAACCUAUAUGAUAGGUCAUUGAGGACAGUGGUGGCAUUGGUGCAGUGGGGUGACCAGCCUACCAACCCAGCAUAUUUCCUGAUCUCCGUUUAACUAAAAUGUCUUUAAGAUGGACUUCCAAGGGUCUUUGUACUUGCUAUACUUAUUUAGCAAUUCUUGUCAAAAAGUAUUCAACUCUGAAAUGUUUGGGCUAUUUCACCAAGGAAACAGCCAUUAUCAGCACAGCAGCUUUCCAAAGAAAAAGGAAACACACAUUGGAGAGUGGAAUAAGGGAAUUCUGAGUAUCAGGCAUUUCUUUAGAUGCAGAAAUGGAACUACAAUUAUAUAAGUAUUUCCUCAUUAUUUUGGAUAUUAAAUAUAUAUACUUAUACAUAUAUAUGGAUUCAUAUACUUACAUAUAAUGUUCACAACAAUAAAUGCAUACAUAUAUAUCUUUGUUCUGUUCUAGUAUGAAACAAAUUGUAUUGAAUUUGAUUAUAUGAUUCUAAAAUUAUUAACUAACACAUAAAUGUAUAUAUACUUAUGUGGCAUAAUGUGGUUUUUCUAUUGACAUAUACAUUAUGUAAUGUUCAAAUCAGGGUAAACAUCCACUCAUUUGUCAUAUUAUAGUGAAAACAUUGAAAAUCCUUCUUUUAAAUUGUUUUAGAAAAAUGUACGAUGUGUUAUUAUAAUCUAUAGUCGUUGUAUUGUAUCAUGCAGUAGAGUACCAGAACUUCUUAUUCCUAACUAUAACUUAGUACCUAUUAACCAACUUUUUCCCAUUCAUUUCUCAACCCUACUCUCCUCAGUUUUUAGUAACCAUCAUUGUACUCUCAGUGACUCUGAGAAUAACUUUGUUAGAUCCCACAGAUGAAUGAGAACAUCCACUUACGUCUUUCUGGGCUUCACAUCGUUCUCAAAUGAUAAGGAUCCUCACUUCCAUCCAUAUUGUUGAAAUGAUUAAAAUGUACUUGGAAGAAUUCCAAGAUGUUGGAGCAGGGAGGGAGAUUACUGCUCUGGUCCAGGAGAAGAUAAUUUAUAAAAAGCGGAGAGAGAGCAGUCACAAGGAAGAGUUAGGGAGAAAAAUGGCAGAGGAAACUCUACGUAGAUUAGAGGGACAUGGUGGACCUUUGUGGAGAGCAUGGAUUUCCACAACUUAAGACUUUAGCAUCCAAGAGCCUAUGCACCAACAUUGGAAUGUGAGGUGAGACCAUAAUGCAGCAGUCCAAGCCACUGGCACUAAAGCUGCAGAAAGACCCCAGAGGGAACCUGUCUUGGAGUCCCUUGGGGGAUAGUGUACUGGCCACACUAGAGGAGAAAAAAACAAAACAAAACAAAAAAAACAAAACUGGAGGUACAUGUGGGGAGCAACUGAGACUAGACUAAGUUACUGGAAUUAAGACUUAUUCUAUGCAUCUGAUCUCCCACAAUAUGGUGCUGAGAGAAAGACCAAACAACUUCUACACAGCUGCCUCCAGUUCAACCUGCUCCUGAUUGGAGGAGAGCAGAGUGCUCGGUGUGUGUGUAGCAGAGUUGGGAUUGGUGGAAGAGGACUAUAAAGGAGGAGAGAGACAACAUGCACCAGGAACAUCUGAGGAACACCUGAGGAACAUCUGAGCAGCCCCCCGAGAGAGCCGGCCAGCGGUGUGCCGCUCCUCCGCGGAAGGGGGGGAAAGCAGCAGGGGGUGCCGCCCCUCCACGGAGGUUGGGGGGCCAGCAGCUAAGCCGGGAAGAGCCAGGCAAAAAGAACAGCUCAGGGUCUAGUGUCGUUCCUCCGCGAAUGGGGGAGUGACAGGUACAUGUUUCUCUCUCCUGAGAACUUUGCAUUGGCAUUCUGUAAAAAUCUAAAGGAACAGGCACCAUUUUGGACAUACAUAACACUUGCACCAGCUCAAAUCCACAACCAGCAACUAGCUGAGUGGAGACUCCUCACUCUGGUGGGAAGAAUUAAGAAGGGGCUGGACUCAUGACUGUGGGCUUCUGUGCCUGGACUGUGAAAAAAAACUAAGGUUGCAUGAGAGGACUCUUGUUGUGGCUGACUUUGGGAAGUCACUGUGAUAGACUCCAUAUGCAGAGGGCUUCUUUGUCUCCUGGAGAGAGACAUUUCUGGGUAAUCUGAACUAACACAGUGGACUGCACAGAUCCUUUGAGUGGUCCUUGGGACAGAGCAGAUGAAUAUUAUACCCACUGGGGCUAGCGUUAAGGCACUGUUCUCCUUUGAGGAGAGGAGCUCAGCUGAGCAGAAUAAACCUCUCUUCUGAUUAAAAGAAAAAUGGAGAUUUACAACCCCAAAGCAAGGUGUGUCACCUUAGGCAAGCCCUUCACCCUGGAGAACUGAACAGAGCUCUCUGGACACACCCAGCACAAACCUCUGGAUAUAAAUUGAAAGCAGACAUUCCACAUAUAUACAGAGGAGUAACACAAAGAUAAAAGCCACCAAAACAGAAAAACAAGAAACCAACAAGUAUCUCCACAAAUGCUGAACAACAAACAUACCAUUUAAGAAACAAGCAUAAGGAAGACAACAUGACACCUCCAAAAGAACACAACACUCAAUACUAAAUUAUGAAGAUUAUGAGAUGGAGGAAAUGCAAGAAAUGGAAUUCAAAAAAUUGAUCAUAAGAUUACAUAGAAGUAAUCAGAAGGAAAUGCACAACUACUGAAAUCCAUAGAAGAAAUGAAAUAAAUUUUUAUAAAAAGCAGAGAGAGAGCAGUCACAAAGAAGAGUUAGGGAGAAAAUGACAGAGGAAACUGUACGUAGAUUAGAGGGACAUGGUGGACCUUUGUGGAGAGCAUGGAUUUCCACAACUUUACAACUUAAAGAGAAAUCAAAAUGAAAUUAAGAAUUCAAUAGAACAAAUAAAAAUGCAGUGGAAAGCCUUAACAACAUGGAUUAAAAAUCCAAAUAUAUGACUGACACCAUCAAAUUAUUAGAGAACAUUGGGGGAAACACUGCAAGAUAUUGGCACAGGCAAAGAGUUCUUGGAAAGAAUCCAGAGGUGCAGGCAGUCAAAGCCAAAAUUAACAAAUGGGCUUACAUCAAAUCGAGAAGUUUCUGUACGGCAAAAGAAACACUCAGGAAAGUGAAGAGACAACCAACAGAAUGGGAGAAAUUAUCUGCAAACUGUGCAACUGAUAAAGGAUUAAUGACCAGAAUCUACCAAGAGGUCAGGAAACUCCACAACAACAAAACAAACAGGCAAAAUAAUUAAAACAGGCAAAGGACUUAAACAGAUAUUUUUCAAAAUUUUGAAAUCCAAAUGGCUAACAGACACAUUAAAAAUGAUCUGGUAAAAAAAAAAGCUUGUGAGAGCCUUUCAGGCAAUUAAAGUGAAGACAUUGCAAAGAUCUCUGUGAGUGAGUCCUAGUGAAAAGUCAUGGCCGUCAAAGAAAGAUAUACUUCUCCCUAGUGGGCGAGAGAAUUUUCACUUUGUUUAUGGCCUUGUCCAAAUGCUAGUGGGGUUUGUUGAUUCAAAAGGUUUCCUUAGCCUAGGCAGUUCAUGUCAAGUGCCACCUGUGGUCACUAACAUCGUAUAUGAGUGGUAACUGUUAAAUUAACAGGAGUCACUGUGCACUAACUUCCCAUUCAGGACCUCUGGCCUCAAUGAGUUACAUUGAGAAUUAACUGUAAAAUUAGUUCUCAAACAGUUUGUGCAUGUGCAAAUUGUUGAAAUCUUUACUUAGUAUAGAGUUAGUCUUCCGUGUACAUAGUUGAAACUGAAUCUUAAUGGAGAAUGGGACUAGCAAGGAGAGAGCAAGGAGGAGGUGUAGGGAUAGGAGUGUGGGUGGGAGGGUGUAUAUGGUGGGAAUAAUAACUGUAUUCCUAAAGUAGUACUUAUGAAAUUUUUAAUUCUUAAAAAAAUAAAUAAAAAUACUCUAUUUCAUUGAAUAAUUUUCCAUUGUGCGUGUGUACCUCAUUUUCUUUACCAUUUUCCAUUUGAUAAGCAGUUAAUUUGUUUUCAUUUCUUGGGUAUUAUGAAGUUAUAUUGAUUGAAUUUCCUGUAGCUAUUAUCCAGGAGUAGCACUGCUUUCUAUAGUUUCACUUUUUCUUCUUGAGGAAUUGAUAUUCUCUUUGCCACAAUGGAUUUACUAAUUUACAUUUCAACUGAAAUGUGCGAGUGUUUCAUUUCUUCCCCGUUAUUUGAGCAUUUAUUAUCUUUUGUCAUCCUGGUAAGUCAGUAUAAUUGGAACAAGGUGGUAUCUCAUUAUAAUUUUGAUUUCCUUUUCUCUUAUGAUUAGUGAAAUUGAAUAUUUUUGUAUGUACUUGGUCAUUAGUCUGUCUCCCUUGUAAUAAUUUCUGAGUAUGUCUACUCUUCAAAUUUAAUAGAAUGAUUUGUGACUUUGCUAUUGAGUUACGUAUUUGAUUGUUAGGUCAUUCUCAGGUGACAGGUUUGUAAAUAUUUUCAGCCAUUAUGUAGGUUCUUUUUCACUUUAUUUUUUCAUUGCUGUACAGAAGCUCUUUAGUUUGAUGAAAUCCCAUUUGUCUAGGUUUCUUUUUGCUUCCUGUUCUUUUGUGUAUAACUCAAAAGUGAGAGACAAGCUCCAGUAUCAUUCUUGUGGGUAUAAUAUACAAUUUCCAACAUCUAUUUUAAAAGAUUUUACUUAUUUGUUUGAGAAGUAGAGUUACAGAAAGAUAGAGGGAGCAACAGAGAGAAAGGUCGUUCAUCCACUGGUUCAUUCCCCAAAUGUCCACAAAGGACAGAACUGGGCUGAUCUGAAACCAGGAGCUUCUUCCAUGUCUCCCACAUGUAUGUAGGGGCCCAAACACUUGGGCCAUCUCAAUUUUUAAAGAUUCAUUUAUUUAUUUGAAAGUCAGAGAUACACAAAGAGAAGGAAGGCCAGGAUAAAGGGAGAGGUCUUCCAUCUGCUGGUUCACUCCCCAGUUGGCUGCAAUGGCUAGAGCUGUGCUGAUCUGAAGUCAGGAGCCAGGAGCUUCUGGGUCUCCCAUGUGAGUGCAGGGGCCCAAGGACUUGGGCCAUCUUCUGCUUCCCCAGGCCAUAGCAGAGACUUGGAUUGGAAGUGGAGCAACCGGUACUCAAACCAGCACCCAUAUAGGAUGCAGGCACUGCAGGUGGUGCCUUUAUCCAUUACAUGGGCCAUCUUCUGCUGCUUUUUAAGGCAAUAAAAGAGAACUGGAUCAGAAGUGGAGCAGCAGGGACUCGCAACGGUGCCUAUAUGGAAUGGCAACACUGCAGGUGGUGGCUUUACCCACUAUGCCACAGCACUGAUCCCAUAGGUAACUUCUAGAAACCAAGUUGUCAGCAAGUCAGAGCACUAAAUUUUCAAUGUCAGAUAGCAGAUUUCUCCAGAGUUCACUAUAUUUAAGUCAUUACUUAAACACAUGUACAUAAUGGGUUAUUGAAGAUCCUUUAUUAUUAAAUGUUGCCAGGAAGAAAAUAUUUAUUGGUUAAAACUGAAGACUACAAGGAGUGAAUUACUGCUGCCAAUAUGAGCAACUAUGAAUUAAAACAAAUUUGCCUUGGAGACUUUCCAUGAUUAAAAAAUAAAUACCAACAAAUAUAAACACCAAUUCUGUAUGACAUUUCUUAUUUGAUUUAUAUGUGGUGAUUCAUUACCAUCUCAAUGAUAUCUAUUAUUUAUACCAAAGAUUACUUUUUGCUGUUAUUCUUUUUUUUUACCUAGAAACAUUUUAUUUAAGGCAUAAAAAUCAUGUAUUUCAUAAAUAUAUAUUUAGGAAAUAUGGAUUCUUUCCACCCUACCCUCCCUACUGCUCACACUCCCAUCCUUCUUCCUCCAGCCAUUCCCUCAGGCCAGCGCCGGGGCUCACUAGGCUAAUCCUCCUCCUUGCAGUGCCGGCACCCCGGGUUCUAGUCCCAGUAGGGGUGCCGAAUUCUGUCCCGGUUGCCUCUCUUCCAGGCCAGCUCUCUGCUGUGGCCAGGGAGUACAGUGGAGGAUGGCCCAAGUGCUUGGGCCCUGCACCCCAUGGGAGACCAGGAGAAGCACCUGGCUCCUGCCAUCCGAUCAGCGCGGUGCGCCACCUGCAGUGCACUGGCUGCGCCGGCCAUUGGAGGGUGAACCAAUGGCAAAGGAAGACCUUUCUCUCUGUCUCUCUCUCACUGUCCACUCUGCCUGUCAAAACAAACAAACAAACAAAAACAACUGUCACUCAACAGUUGAGACAGGGGCUGUUCAAAAGCAUUCUAUCUCAGUGUGACAAUUUCACUUUUACAGACUACCUUUCAGGUACUCUAUUAGUUACCACAGACCAGGGAGAACAUAUGAUGUUUGUCUUUUGGGGAGUGGAUUACUUCAUUAAGUAUAAUGAUUUCCACUUGCAUCCACUUUAUACUAAUGAUAGUACAUAUACCAUAAUUUCUUUAUGCAGUCUUCAGUUGACAGACAUCUGGGUUGGUUCUAUGUUUUAGCUAUUAUGAAUUGAACUCCAUUAAACAUGAAGGUACAGAUAAAUCUUUCAUAUGCUGAUUUCAUUUUCUUUGAGUAAGUUCCAAGGCGUGAGAUGGCUGUGUCAUCAUAGGCAUAUAUUUAUAAAUAUAUGCAAAUCUUGAGAAACAAAUAUUUCUUUUCUGGCACAUGAAUAUGAGAAAUGUAUAAAUCUUUCUCAAUAAUAGGCAUAUUAUUGUAAAUAUGUUUGAUACUAAAAUUUUGUGUUUAAAUAUCUGUAAUUUUGGGGGCCAGUGCUGUGGCUCAGCAGGUUAACACCCUGGUCUGAAGCCCUGGCAUCCCAUAUGAGCGCCGGUUCUAGUCCCAGCUGCUCCUCAUCUGAUCCAGCUCUCUGCGAUGGCCUGGGAUAGCAGUAGAAGAUGGCUCAAGUCCUUGGGCCCCUGUACCUGCAUAGGAGACCCAGAAGAAGCUCCUGGCUCCUGGCUUCAGAUCAGUGAAGCUCAGCCAUUGUGGCCAUCUGGGGAGUGAACCAGUGGAUGGAAGACCUUUCUCUCUGUCUCUACUUCUCUCUGUAAUUCUGUCUUUCAAAUAAAUAAAAUAGGUCUUUAAUAAAUAAAUAAAUAUCUGUAAUUUUGUAUAUGAACAAUGAUAGGAAAAAUGAAAUUGUGGAGGUGUCUUGACUGCAUUUGGCACAGAAGAGUUGUUCAACAAAAGACCUUUAAAGGUGAUUGCUAUUUACUGAUACAUUAUUAAUAUUACCUGGGAUCUGGGGCCAGUGCUAUGGUGCAGUAGGUUAAUCCUCCGCCUUUUAUGCUGGCAUCCCAUAUUGGUGCUUUUUCGAGUCCCAGCUACGAAAGCAGUAGAAGAUGACCCAAGUGCUUGGAACCCUGCACCUGCUUGGGAGACCUGCUCUGGCCAUUGUGGCCAUUUGGAGAGUGAUCCAGCAGAAGAAAGACCUCUAUCUCUGUUUUUCUCCCUCUCUCUGUCUGUAUCUACCUCUCAAGUAAGUAAAAGAAUAUAUUAAAAAAAAACAUUAUGUGGAAUAAUGAAGGGAAAAGAGAGGACAGUUUUUUUUGAGUGUUUGUCUGUUUUCAGUUCCCUUUUCAGAUAUUAUCCUGGUUAUAUGACUCUCACUAUUUUGUUUGAGUAAUAAUUAGAUGAAGAACUUUAUUUAUAUGUAUAUAUAAGACUUCAACAAAGAUAGUGUAGAACCUGAGAAAAAUGUCUGUUCAAGGCAAACAGUAUAAUAAAUUUUCUUGUCUCCUAGAUAUCUAUAGAAAAUGUUCUUGUUUUACCUAUACAUUUUUUUGUAGUUCAUUUUUGUGUGAUGUGACCAUAACAUCCGUGGUUGGAAAGAAAUUUCCUUUUAAUAAAUGAGUUUUUUGUGCUAGAUUUGCUAGGUUAAGUUAGCUUUUUAUUUGUUUGUUUUAUUUGUUUUAUUAUUGUUCUACAAUUCUUAUUGGACUGAACUUUUUUCUUUCAAAAUGUUUUCAUAGUAUGAUGAGAAUGUCAUGGAUUGAGGGAAGAUUUAUACAGAAAGCAUUUGGACUGCUUCCAGUUUUGGAGCUCUGGAAUCUCAGUUCAUUCAGGACUGAAUAUGGCAGCUUUACCUGAAUCAAGGGAGAGAGAGAGAGAGAGCGUGCAUUUCCAUCCAGUGGAUCUCUCCCGCACAUGCCCAAAACAGUGAAGACUGACCUGCCACAUGGAUGCCAAGGACCCCAGUAUUUGAGACAUCGCCUGCUGCCUUCUUAGGUUCACAUUAGCUGGAAAUUGCGGUCAGGAAGAGAGCCAGGUCCGGAACCAUGUACUACAAUGCAGGGUGCAGGCAUCUGACUCUUGUGCCUAAUGAUUGCCCUUGGCAGUCAAAUUUUCAGAUCCUGGCCAUGCAGCUCCUCUGACCUUGAGUGAAUAGCUCUGGGAGGCUUUACUGCUUCAGUGGAAAAGUACAUAAUAAUGGAGGUGAAAUUCUAGACACCUGGAAAUUGCUCAAUACAAUCUAUUUUUAGUCAUUUAUUUGACACCCCGCACUUGGAAACAGUGUGAUUCUAUAACAUUAAAUCUUCCUUUGGCUCGUCCUCAUGCAUUCUCUUCAGUAUUACUGUCUGCUGAUCAACCCAGUGCUUCCUCUUCUGACAUCAUAAUGCAUGGCAUGCCCCUUCCACAUUAGAUUGAUGAGUAGUAAACUAUCUUUAGAAUAAAAAAGAAAACAAGGAAGCAAUGGUAGCUUUAACCACAGCAGACAAUUGCCAGGUUUGAAAAUUUGCUCAUCAGAACAUCAAGCAGUGGGAUUAUGUGAAGGACUCCACGUUUUCCCCUAGGGAACCUGAAAUCAUGCUGCCAUCUUGGCAAUGGGGCAACCCUACUUCUGAGUUCAUAUAGAUCAGUGAUGAUAUAUAAUGGGAGGGGGUGAUUUCCAAACUUUAGUGUGCUUAGGAGUCACCCACAGAGCUUGUCCAAUACACAGAGAUUUCAGAGCCUCAACUCAAGCAUUCUGACUGAAUGGAAAUAGCAUGAAGCCCAGAAAUACACUUGCUGGUGAGUUUGAGCCUAAGCUACACUGUUAGGGUACCCAGAAACGUGUUACCUAUUUAAUUUAGGAGUUCACACAGGCAAAUCCCUUCCUAGAAUACUCUCAGGCAUCUAACUUUGAGUUCUAAAAAAACAUAUCCAGGAGAUAAUUCAAAAGGUGUUUCUUAUAUUGCAAAUGGAUGCUUAUUCAUUUUUUUAAAUUUUUAAAAAAAUUUAUGUUGUACUAUGUGAAUUAAUGGUGAAACUACUACUCAAAUAGUACUAUAUACUUUGUGUGUCUGUGUGGGUGAAAUCUGUUGCAAUCUUUGCUUAGUAUAUACUAAGUUGAUCUUCUGUAUAUAAAGAUAAUUGAAAAUAAAUCUUAAUGAAGAAUGGGAUGAGAGAGGGAG